CGUAGAAGAUCUUCAUUGAUUUGAAAUUUUGGACUUCAAGAUGAUUCAGAUAGAUACCUUGAUCACGAUGACAUGAUCAGGGUGCUCGCCUGGCUCGUAGAGAAUGCCAUUACUGGAAACCAUGUCGUCCACUACAUUGCUCUUUGAGAUCUCCUUCGAUCGGAAGGUUUGAGGUG